ACAAGAGCUUAUAUCUCAUUGCAGAUUCUAAGGGUGGUAAACUUUCGGACCAGCGAAGGGAUGGUGUUUAAGUCCACCGAGGCUGAGUCAAUGAUGUAUUGUAGUAUGAGUGAUACCCGAUAGUAGUCUUGUAGGGGGAAUUAUAGGGAAAAUAUUUUAUCAAAUGAUUUUCUAGGGUCACAUGUUAUCAUUCCUGUGAGAAAUGUACUCUUGGAUGGUAAACCCGUGACCUAACACGUCGGAUGACAUUUAAGUCC
rnacentral:lncRNA from 1 species